UCUACGGGGCGCUGCAGUGGGGAAUAUUGGACAAUGGGCGAAAGCCUGAUCCAGCCAUGCCGCGUGUGUGAAGAAGGCCUUCGGGUUGUAAAGCACUUUCAGUGGGGAAGAAAGCCUUGGGGCUAAUACCCUCGAGGAAGGACAUCACCCACAGAAGAAGCACCGGCUAACUCCGUGCCAGCAGCCGCGGUAAUACGGAGGGUGCGAGCGUUAAUCGGAAUUACUGGGCGUAAAGCGCGCGUAGGCGGUCUGAUAAGCCGGUUGUGAAAGCCCCGGGCUCAACCUGGGAACGGCAUCCGGAACUGUCAGGCUAGAGUGCAGGAGAGGAAGGUAGAAUUCCAGGUGUAGCGGUGAAAUGCGUAGAGAUCGGGAGGAAUACCAGUGGCGAAGGCGGCCUUCUGGACUGACACUGACGCUGAGGUGCGAAAGCGUGGGUAGCAAACAGGAUUAGAUACCCGGGUAGUC
rnacentral:rRNA from 1 species